rnacentral:rRNA from 1 species
GAACCUUCGGGGAACGAUAACGGCGUCGAGCGGCGGACGGGUGAGUAAUGCCUAGGAAAUUGCCCUGAUGUGGGGGAUAACCAUUGGAAACGAUGGCUAAUACCGCAUGAUGCCUACGGGCCAAAGAGGGGGACCUUCGGGCCUCUCGCGUCAGGAUAUGCCUAGGUGGGAUUAGCUAGUUGGUGAGGUAAGGGCUCACCAAGGCGACGAUCCCUAGCUGGUCUGAGAGGAUGAUCAGCCACACUGGAACUGAGACACGGUCCAGACUCCUACGGGAGGCAGCAGUGGGGAAUAUUGCACAAUGGGCGCAAGCCUGAUGCAGCCAUGCCGCGUGUGUGAAGAAGGCCUUCGGGUUGUAAAGCACUUUCAGUCGUGAGGAAGGUAGUGUAGUUAAUAGCUGCAUUAUUUGACGUUAGCGACAGAAGAAGCACCGGCUAACUCCGUGCCAGCAGCCGCGGUAAUACGGAGGGUGCGAGCGUUAAUCGGAAUUACUGGGCGUAAAGCGCAUGCAGGUGGUUUGUUAAGUCAGAUGUGAAAGCCCGGGGCUCAACCUCGGAAUUGCAUUUGAAACUGGCAGACUAGAGUACUGUAGAGGGGGGUAGAAUUUCAGGUGUAGCGGUGAAAUGCGUAGAGAUCUGAAGGAAUACCGGUGGCGAAGGCGGCCCCCUGGACAGAUACUGACACUCAGAUGCGAAAGCGUGGGGAGCAAACAGGAUUAGAUACCCUGGUAGUCCACGCCGUAAACGAUGUCUACUUGGAGGUUGUGGCCUUGAGCCGUGGCUUUCGGAGCUAACGCGUUAAGUAGACCGCCUGGGGAGUACGGUCGCAAGAUUAAAACUCAAAUGAAUUGACGGGGGCCCGCACAAGCGGUGGAGCAUGUGGUUUAAUUCGAUGCAACGCGAAGAACCUUACCUACUCUUGACAUCCAGAGAACUUUCCAGAGAUGGAUUGGUGCCUUCGGGAACUCUGAGACAGGUGCUGCAUGGCUGUCGUCAGCUCGUGUUGUGAAAUGUUGGGUUAAGUCCCGCAACGAGCGCAACCCUUAUCCUUGUUUGCCAGCGAGUAAUGUCGGGAACUCCAGGGAGACUGCCGGUGAUAAACCGGAGGAAGGUGGGGACGACGUCAAGUCAUCAUGGCCCUUACGAGUAGGGCUACACACGUGCUACAAUGGCGCAUACAGAGGGCGGCCAACUUGCGAAAGUGAGCGAAUCCCAAAAAGUGCGUCGUAGUCCGGAUUGGAGUCUGCAACUCGACUCCAUGAAGUCGGAAUCGCUAGUAAUCGUGGAUCAGAAUGCCACGGUGAAUACGUUCCCGGGCCUUGUACACACCGCCCGUCACACCAUGGGAGUGGGCUGCAAAAGAAGUAGGUAGUUUAACCUU